AGCAGCCGCGGUAAUUCCAGCCCCAAUAGCGUAUAUUAAAGUUGUUGCAGUUAAAAAGCUCGUAGUUGAAUUUCGAGACCGGUUUACUGGUCGUGCUUUUGUACGUACUGGUAUUAUUGGUUUCUCCUUUCUGACGAAUCAUAAUGCCAUUAAUUUGGUGUUUUGGGGAAUCAGGACUGUUACUUUGAAAAAUUAGAGUGUUUAAAGCAGGCUCACGCUUGAAUACAUUAGCAUGGAAUAACGAAAUAGGACGUUUGAUUUUAUUUUGUUGGUUUCUAGGAUCGACGUAAUGAUUAAUAGGGAUAGUUGGGGGCAUUAGUAUUCAAUUGUCAGAGGUGAAAUUCUUGGAUUUAUUGAAGACUAACUACUGCGAAAGCAUUUGCCAAGGAUGUUUUCAUUAAUCAAGAACGAAAGUUAGGGGAUCGAAGACGGUCAGAUACCGUCGUAGUCUUAACCAUAAACUAUAGCCGACUAGGGAUCGGAUGAUGUUAAUUUUUAAUUGACUCA
rnacentral:rRNA from 1 species